UACGAAGGGUGCAAGCGUUAAUCGGAAUUACUGGGCGUAAAGCGUGCGCAGGCGGUUUUGUAAGCCAGAUGUGAAAUCCCCGGGCUUAACCUGGGAAUGGCAUUUGGGACUGCAAGGCUGGAGUUUGGCAGAGGAGACUGGAAUUCCCGGUGUAGCAGUGAAAUGCGUAGAUAUCGGGAGGAAUACCGAUGGCGAAGGCAGGUCUCUGGGCUACAACUGACGCUCAUGCACGAAAGCGUGGGGAGCAAACAGG
rnacentral:rRNA from 1 species